rnacentral:rRNA from 1 species
CCUACGGGAGGCAGCAGUGGGGAAUAUUGCACAAUGGGGGAAACCCUGAUGCAGCAACGCCGCGUGAGUGAAGAAGUAUCUCGGUAUGUUAAGCUCUAUCAGCAGGGAAGAAGAUGACGGUACCUGAUUCAGAAGCCCCGGCUAACUACGUGCCAGCAGCCGCGGUAAUACGUAGGGGGCAAGCGUUAUCCGGAUUUACUGGGUGUUAAGGGGGCGCAGACGGCAGGGCAAGUCAGGAGUGAAAGCCCGGGGCCCAACCCCGGAAGUGCCCUGGAAACUGUGCGGCUAGAGUACUGGAGGGGCAGGCGGAAUUCGUAGUGUAGCGGUGAAAUGCGUAGAUAUUAGGAAGAACACUGAUGGCGAAGGCAGCAUGCUGGACAGUAACUGACGUUGAGGCUCGAAAGCGUGGGGAGCAAACAGGAUUAGAUACCCGAGUAGUC